CAUCACGGACAUCCUCUGUGCUGCCUAUGCACUUGAUUGGCAAGUGGAUGCUAAAGAGAAGAUGAAUUUCCUUCCAAUCUUUUUUCCGUUCCUCCUGUUUUUCCUUUGGUUUAUACUCCUUAUUUUUAUGUAGCUAGCAGUAGCCUUGCUAAAGACACUGUAGUCCUCCAGUGUGCACUAGUAUAUUUAAUAAAUGAACUUCGGAUCCUGUGAUGGAUUGGCACCAUCCCUUUUUAGGUAUGAAAGGACAUGUUGUCCUGUCACUUACAUGUAAACAAACUGUGCAUUACUUCAUCCCUGCUACCAUUUGUUACUUUUAGAACCUGCACAAUGAGAUACUAAAACAGAAGAAAAUAGGUAAAGGAGUGGAAAGCAGUUGAAUUAUUUGAAAUUGUAUGAGAUACCAGCAAUCUCCACAGGAAUGUAACUUUUUUAGUUCAAGUUGACAUUUAAAUUGCAUUUUGUGCUGGAAAGAAAAGUCAGUGGGAGAAGAGGAAUAUCAAAUGAAAUAGUGGCACAUGUGGUGAGUCACAUUUGCUAUUAUUUUGUAAGUAUUAUAAAAAUAUAUCAGAUUUUAUUGGAAUUGACAGAAAAUUAUUAAAAAUUUGAGAUAAAGUUUUCUUUUGAUAAACUGUACCUUACAGAUGGCACAUCACAGAAAAUUCUUUUCUUGUUAAGAAAUCAAAGCAGUUCAGGGAACACGGCAGCAUCAGUAUAAUAAUAGUUGACAGGUACCGUGGCUGUGAACAAACACCCAUAUCAUGGUAUCUGAGAUACCAUAUUUUUCCCACUAAAAUUAAACCAUGAGAUAUCUUUGACAAUGCUGUGUUAAUGAUAUGCUAGCAUUUGCUUCAGUUUGGCUUAAUACUGCUUUAAUUCCCUCACUUACAGGUCUUUUUUGGAGUUCAUCAAGGAUGUGUGUUUAGAAACUUCUUUCUACACAUACUUUCAAAUCCACCCCAAGGAGAGCUCCAGUAAGUUCUGAAGUGUUGGACAUGUGCUGCACAUCAUGGUGUAAAGUGUGGAGCAUGAAGCGUUCAUAGCUGUCCCAUCAUUAAGCGAAGCCUGUCCUUCUUGCCCUGCCUGUGUCAAGGCCACCUCCUUGGGCUCUGCACACCCGAUGGCACCACUCAUUGCCUACUGGAUUUGUGGGAAUGAAGGGUUUAGAAACAUACGAGUGAGGAAAAAAAAAAGACUCCAGCACUGGCUUCAUGGGUACAAAGAUGCCAGAGUGUCAAGCAGAGCUGGGACCAGCUUGUCUUCAGGUGUGUUGCUUUUUACUGAAGUCAGUCCAAGGAGAGAACAAGAAGAAAGUACUUCCAGAGGGUGAUUAAUCCCAUCUUAAACAAGUGUGUAAGACAGGUA